rnacentral:rRNA from 1 species
UACGGAGGGUGCGAGCGCUGUCCGGAAUCACUGGGCGUAAAGGGCGCGUAGGCGGCUUGAUAAGCGUGCGGUGAAAGCCCGGGGCUCAACCCCGGGUCGGCCGUGCGAACUGUCGAGCUGGAGCACUGUAGAGGCAGGUGGAAUUCCGGGUGUAGCGGUGGAAUGCGUAGAGAUCCGGAAGAACACCGGUGGCGAAGGCGGCCUGCUGGGCAGUGGCUGACGCUGAGGCGCGACAGCGUGGGGAGCAAACAGG